rnacentral:rRNA from 1 species
CCCUUAGAUGUCCUGGGCCGCACGCGCGCUACACUGAGUGUCUGAGAUACGAGUCUGCCUGGUCCGGCAAGGUCUAGGUAAUCGCUAAAAGACACAUCAUGCUUGGGAUAGAUUAUUGCAAAUAUUAAUCUUGAACGAGGAAUUCCUAGUAAGCGCAAGUCAACAGCUUGCGUUGAUUACGUUCCUGCCCUUUGUACACACCGCCCGUCGCUACUACUGAUUGGAUGUUUAAGCGAGGUUCUCGAACUGCUAGCGACUUAGCUUCGGUGAGGUCGCAGUGUGGGAAGUGAACCGAGCUUUGGUGUCUAGAGGAAGUAAAAGUCGUAACA